UACGUAGGGCGCAAGCGUUAUCCGGAAUUAUUGGGCGUAAAGAGCUCGUAGGCGGUCUGUCGCGUCGGCUGUGAAAUCCCGAGGCUCAACCUCGGGUCUGCAGUCGAUACGGGCAAACUAGAGUAUUGCAGGGGAGACUGGAAUUCCUGGUGUAGCGGUGAAAUGCGCAGAUAUCAGGAGGAACACCGGUGGCGAAGGCGGGUCUCCGGGCAAUAACUGACGCUGAGGAGCGAAAGCGUGGGGAGCGAACAGG
rnacentral:rRNA from 1 species